GAGUUUGAUCAUGGCUCAGGAUGAACGCUAGCGGCAGGCCUAACACAUGCAAGUCGAACGGUAACAGGAAUUAGCUUGCUAAUUUGCUGACGAGUGGCGCACGGGUGCGUAACGCGUAUACAAUCUACCUUUUGCUGAGGGAUAGCCCAGAGAAAUUUGGAUUAAUACCUCAUGGUAUUAUUGACAGGCAUCUGUUAAUAAUUAAAGGUUACGGCAAAAGAUGAGUAUGCGUCCCAUUAGCUAGUUGGCGAGGUAACGGCUCACCAAGGCAACGAUGGGUAGGGGUCCUGAGAGGGAGAUCCCCCACACUGGUACUGAGACACGGACCAGACUCCUACGGGAGGCAGCAGUGAGGAAUAUUGGACAAUGGGCGAGAGCCUGAUCCAGCCAUGCCGCGUGCAGGAAGACUGCCCUAUGGGUUGUAAACUGCUUUUAUACAGGAAGAAUAAGCCUUACGUGUAAGGUGAUGACGGUACUGUAAGAAUAAGGACCGGCUAACUCCGUGCCAGCAGCCGCGGUAAUACGGAGGGUCCGAGCGUUAUCCGGAAUUAUUGGGUUUAAAGGGUCCGUAGGCGGAUGAUUAAGUCAGAGGUGAAAGUUUGCAGCUCAACUGUAAAAUUGCCUUUGAUACUGGUUAUCUUGAGUUGUAUUGAAGUAGGCGGAAUAUGUAGUGUAGCGGUGAAAUGCAUAGAUAUUACAUAGAACACCAAUUGCGAAAGCAGCUUACUAAGUACUAACUGACGCUGAUGGACGAAAGCGUGGGUAGCGAACAGGAUUAGAUACCCUGGUAGUCCACGCCGUAAACGAUGGAUACUAGCUGUUCGGGGCCUUGAGCUCUGAGCGGCUAAGCGAAAGUGAUAGUAUCCCACCCUGGGGAGUACGUUCGCAGAUGAAACUCAAAGGAAUUGACGGGGCCGCACAGCGUGAGCAUGUGGUUUAUCGAUGAUACGCGAGACUACAGGCUAAUGUAGUCUGACAGCUUAGAAGAUAGAGUUUCUCGACGAUUACAGUGCUGCAUGAUGUCGUCAGCUCUGCCGUGGAGGUGUCAGUAGUCUAUAACCGAGCGCCAACCCAUGUCGUUAGUGCCAGCAUGUCCUAGGAUGUACUUACGACUUGCGUGGUCAACCAAGAAAGAGUUGGGGAUAAUACUCUCAUAUACUAUAUUACG
rnacentral:rRNA from 1 species